CUGUCUAGCCUGAAGGCGACCGAUUAUUUUACCAAGUGGGUGGAGGCAAUACCCAUUAAGGUCUGUAAAGGAAGAUAACAUGCUUAACUCUAAAUUCCCUUCUGUAACCCAUAUGAAAAGGGAACCAAAAAUGUAUUUUCUUUUGUAUGAUACCCAUCAAGGACCAGACUGGCGAGGCCACCUCCAAGGCGAUGAUGGACAUCUUCAACGCCCAUAGUUCUCCUGAGGUCAUCUUGAGUGACCGAGGUUGUGAACUCUGGAACAAGGUUUGGAAGUCCCUUGACGGGUUCUAGGAAUGGUGGGAGGACAACCUGAAGGUAAUUAUCUUUGCACACAACAGCAUCGUCCAGGCCUCCAGAGUACUCACUCUAUCACCUGCUGUAUGGACGGGAGCCGCAGCUGUUUACUGAGGUAAACAAUGCAAUUAUAUAUAAAAUGAUUGCCUAUACUGUAGUAUAACAAAUUUGUGAUUGACUUCGUGUUUUGCUAUUGCUAUUUUUGUAUAACGUACUUUGAGAUCACUGAUACUCCACCUGAUGUGGUGGAAGUUGUUGAACCAGAUCAGAACGCCUUCGAGGACCACCUUCAGGCACGGACUGAGAAGGAUGUGGAGGGUUGUGACCACGUCAAAAUUAUUGUCCACUGUUUAUUUAUUUUCUGGCCUUCCAAGAGCUAUAUAAGAGAUGUAUUUGUAAUAAUAUGAAAAAUAAUUGCAUUUAUUUCUUUUAUCAAUCAAGGUGAGACUGAACAUGGACAAGGAGCUUGAGAAAAAGGAGAGCCACCGGAGGAGAAUCAAGGGGACCAAGUGCUUUGACAUCCGGGCGAAUUACUUGACUUGGAAGAAGGAAGAAAGGAAGGCGAUACCUGGGAAAGCUUGAUGCUUUUUCACUUCUCGCUGGGGUCACCAUCCGUUAAGGGACCAUCCCUUACCAACCCCACUGACAUAAAACAUUUGACAGGACCUAAGGGUUCAGCCUAACACCCAGACAUGGAUCCACCUGAUGUCCUCCAUUACCAACCACCCUCCAACUUUUCAUGACAUCAGCUACUGUUAUUUUCAUGUUGUCAUUAUCUUCUAAGAAAGAGCAAGACAACUAUCAUAUUGGGCACAUAAUGUGAGCUGCACAGAUUAGCUAAAAACACUAGCACUGUAAACACACUGUCACGUCCUGACCAGUGAAAAGGGUCAUUUGCCAUAGUAGAAUGGUCAGGGUGUGGCAGGGGGGUUGUUUUGUGUGUCUUGGGUUUUUUUGGUUCU